GGAGCGAGUUUGCCGCUUGUCAACAAAGUUACUUGGGCUUGCAUAGCGGCCGCGCGCUUUUGCGUUUUGAAUAAAAAUUACGAAAACAUUGUUUUUGUUCGCGAUUAAGUGUUGUAUGUAAUUGAAAUUUUGUAGCAGUGCAGUACAAUCAGGAUAUAACUAAUUUACAGUGCAGUGAAAUAAAGGAUUGCAGUG